rnacentral:rRNA from 1 species
CGGCGGACGGGUGAGUAACGCGUGGGUAACCUACCCUGUACACACGGAUAACAUACCGAAAGGUAUGCUAAUACGGGAUAAUAUAUUUGAGAGGCAUCUCUUGAAUAUCAAAGGUGAGCCAGUACAGGGUGGACCCGCGUCUGAUUAGCUAGUUGGUAAGGUAACGGCUUACCAAGGCGACGAUCAGUAGCCGACCUGAGAGGGUGAUCGGCCACAUUGGAACUGAGACACGGUCCAA